rnacentral:snRNA from 14 species
AUGUUUCUCGACUACACAUAUACUAACAAUUGGACAAUACAGAGAAGACUACAUGAGCCCUGUGCAAGGAUGACACUGCAAAUCUGAAGCGUUCAUAUUUUGC